rnacentral:rRNA from 1 species
AUGAUGAAAUUCCCAUGCUUUUAUGUCAUAUGGAUGACUACUGGGAGUCUUUUUCUAGAAAGCCUGGUAGUUCCAUUUUCGGGACAGUGGUUGCUAUUACUGUUUGCUAACAACUGUAAAAAACGUUGUGGCAAUAAUGAUGAAAAUUCCCAUGCUUUUCUGUCAUAUGGUGAAGUUCACGACACUGUAUGGGUUACUGAAUUAAAGGAGGUGAAUAAAAUGGGAUUACCUGUAUUGUGUCACCAAAGGCUGAGGGACCUCAAAUACAUUAUUUGCUUAAUUGCAAGCCAACCAGUAGGAAGCAAGGUUCCAAAUAAAAAAAAGAGGGAUAGCAAUCCCUGA